rnacentral:rRNA from 1 species
AUGAGAAUUUCCGUUGAUGAGUGCAAAGAAAGAACCGCUAGGAUGCGUGCUAAGAAAGAUUGCUUUGUAAAAGCGUGUUCUUCUAGUUUCCAUGAAAAUAAUGAUGAAGAUCUAAAAGUUAUUGAUGUGUCCCCUAUUAAAUCUUUGUUUUGCAAUAUGAAUCUUGAUAAUGAUGGGACUGGAUAUGAGUCAACUUUAGUUAAAAGGCGUCCCAAUGAUUCGGAGUUUUUAGAUCUUGAUGCUAAAUUUGGUAAAAGUGGGAUUGGAGAGGUUAAAACUUUACAUAGCAAUGAACCCACUAUUAUGGAUUUCAAGGAAUUUAAUUACGAUAAUUGUUCUUUAAAAGAUUGUAUUUCCUUGUUGCAAUCCGUGUUGAAUUGUCCUUAUGCUUAUAGUCAAAAUAAAGCUAUUACCAAACAUAUUGUUAAUGCCUUGAUGCAAUCUUAUGAGGAAAAACUUGAAUUGGAAGUUUCUAUACCUAUAAAACUUUAUGAUGAGUGGGAACCUACUAUAAAAAUUAAAAUUAAAGAUCGUGAAUGCUAUGCUUUAUGUGAUUUGGGUGCUAGUGUUUCCACGAUUCCGAAAACUUUAUGUGAUGUGCUAGAUUUCCAUGAUUUUUAUGAUUGCUCUUUUAAUUUUAAGAAACCUAUGGGAAUGAUCAAUGAUGUUCUUAUUGUUGCAAAUAGGAAUUAUGUGCCCGUAGAUUUUAUCAUUCUUGAUAUAGAUUGCAAUCUUUCAUGUCCUAUUAUUCUUGGUAGACCUUUCCUUAGAACGAUUGGUGCAAUUAUUGAUAUGAAGGAAGGGAAUAUAAGAUUCCAAUUUCUAUUAAGGAAAGGCAUGGAACACUUCCCUAGAAACAAAUUUAAAUUACCUUAUGAAUCUAUUAUUCAUGCUACUUAUGAAUUGAAUGCCAAAGAUGGCAAUACUUAG